rnacentral:rRNA from 1 species
GAUGAACGCUAGCGGCAGGCUUAACACAUGCAAGUCGAGGGGUAUGCUUCUUCGGGAGCAGAGACCGGCGCACGGGUGCGUAACGCGUAUGCAAUCUGCCUUUUACAGGGGGAUAGCCCAGAGAAAUUUGGAUUAAUACCCCAUGGUAUUAUAGGGUGGCAUCACCUUAUAAUUAAAGUCACAACGGUAAAAGAUGAGCAUGCGUCCCAUUAGCUUGUUGGUAGGGUAACGGCCUACCAAGGCUACGAUGGGUAGGGGUCCUGAGAGGGAGAUCCCCCACACUGGUACUGAGACACGGACCAGACUCCUACGGGAGGCAGCAAUGAGGAAUAUUGGUCAAUGGGCGCAAGCCUGAACCAGCCAUGCCGCGUGCAGGAUGACGGUCCUAUGGAUUGUAAACUGCUUUUGUACGGGAAGAAACACUCCUACGUGUAGGAGCUUGACGGUACCGUAAGAAUAAGGAUCGGCUAACUCCGUGCCAGCAGCCGCCGUAAAAC